AAAUCCCGCCGCCAUCGUCCAUCCUGCCACCCCCUCCAUAGAUCUGCCUGCCUCAAUAAUCCCGCCGCCACCUCCAUCGUGUCGCGCCCCUCCAUCACGCUGCCCCCUUUGGUGUCAUUUGCCUGUGGAAUCGUGAUUUCCCUUCCUGUUUUUUGGUAAACUUUGGGGGAAUUUCUGUUCGUAGGAUUUGAGUGUGAUUGAAGAAAUUUUCCUUGGGGGAAUUCAUGCUGGAGCAUCACUGAACUCGUCUAUGGCUAUUCCCUAGCGAUUUCCUCUCUCAAAUUUGUGUUUAUCUUGGAGCAUUGAUUUAACAUUUUUGUUCUUUCUUAUCUGCAGGAUUUAAAGGUUGUUCUAGGUCCUUGCAGGAUUAAGCCUAACAAAACAGAGAUUUGUGAUUAAAAGUUGGUUCAAGGUUCUUGCAAUAUUAAGCCUAGCAAAACAGAUUCGUGGGCAGCAAGGAAAGGAAGGUGUUGUAGUUCAGAAAAUCCAAAAACAACUAGGAGAUUGUCGAGCUCUAGUGUAAGGUAAGUUCAACUAAUUUACCUUGUUUCCGGUUCAAUUGUGUGUUUGUUCAUUAUCUUUGAGUGUAUGCAGCAAAGUUUUUAUGCUUGUUAUAUGUUCUUAGAAGCUCUAUCAUAUCCGUAAUAACACACAUGGAUAAAUCGUGGAUCGACAAUGUGGCUAGGUACAAUACAACUUUUUUUCACAAUAACUAAAAAAAUGUGCUACGUGGUUAUCUUGAUAUUUAACAUAGAAAUUGCAUGUAGGGAGACAAAGGCCUAUACACAAGGGGUGAAUAGUUUUCUAGCUUUUGCAUUAAAAAAUUCAGCGGUAGGAAGCAAGAUUUUAUGCCCUUGUAGGAAGUGUGUCAACUCAUUUU